UGACAUCAUAAGGCUGUGCCUGGCUCUUGCUCUUUUGUGAUUUGGCUGAAGAAAGAAAAACAUCCACGUGACACACUAUUAUACAGAUGGCGUUUAUUAAAGAGGAGAGUGAAGACAUUAGGAUUGCAGAAGUAUUCAGCAUCAAACAUGAAGAUACUGAGGAACAAACAGGUAUAUUACAACGUCACAUCUGCCAAGCCAGAGUUGCUCAUGUCAUGCCGGCACCUCAAGAGAUUCUUCUCAACAUGGCCACCAUUUCAGAGUCUCAUCCCAUCAUGGCCGCCAUUUCACAGUAUGCUCACGCCACGCCUGAGUCCCCGGCCAAGGUGGCCGCCACGCCUGAGUCACCGGCCAAGGUGGCCGCCACGCCUGAGUCGGACGCGGAGCUUGGGCUUGGACUGAAAGGUCUGAUUGCUAGUGUGAUGGACCCACCUCUGAUGUCGGAGCGAGCUGCGGGCAUCCCCAUAACAUCAGUGCUCUCAAGCCCAGCCGUCCUAGAGAUCCUGUUGCCCUCUGCUGCCCUUACUGUAAUGGCGGUUGCCAUUUUAAGCGUGUGGGCUGUACACUGCGCUCAAGAGGCCUCUCCUUUCCAUGAAUCUGCUCCUGAGGCCUUUCCUGUCCAUGAAUCUGCCCCAGUGGCCUCUUCUGCCUAUGAGUCUGUCUCAGAGCCCUGUUCUGUAUGUUGUUUCAGGGUUGGCAUCAUCUGAGGUCCUCUGAGGGGUUGGCAUCAUCUCUUCUCAUGUGUUCUGGAUCCAGACUGAAGCUUGUGAAAUUCCUAGUUACCAUGGGAUGCAAAUCUCGAUUGUAGCGUGAUAGAAGACUAGUUAAGUACGUAGGAGCUAAAUCAUUAAG
rnacentral:lncRNA from 1 species